rnacentral:misc_RNA from 1 species
AAGUCGUAACAAGGUUUCCGUAGGUGAACCUGCGGAAGGAUCAUUACUGGGUCUGGGCCUCGUGCCCGCUACCCGUCCUUUGUCAUGAGACGCGCAAGCAACUCACAUCGUUUCGGCCCCGGAAGAACCCUCCAUUGAUUUGGCGGGUGUACCCCGCGGCCGGCCUCACAAACCCACGCGAAUUUUGAAGUCUGAACAAAUGAUAAACGAAAAGCAAAACUUUCAACAACGGAUCUCUUGGUUCUG